rnacentral:rRNA from 1 species
UACGGGGGGGGCAAGCGUUGUUCGGAAUUACUGGGCGUAAAGGGUUCGUAGGUGGCUCGCUAAGUCAGACGUGAAAUCCCUCAGCUUAACUGGGGAACUGCGUCUGAGACUGGCAAGCUCGAGUGCAGGAGAGGAACGCGGAAUUCCAGGUGUAGCGGUGAAAUGCGUAGAUAUCAGGAGGAACACCGGUGGCGAAGGCGGGAUCCUGGGCCAUUGCUGACACUGAGGCGCGAAAGCUGGGGGAGCAAACAGG